UACCAAUGAAACAUGAUUAUCAUUGCGUUCGGGCCGACUGUCAUGGAUAGUUACAAUUUUUGUGGAGGCUAGCGAUAUUAAUGUAUGAAUUCAAACGCAUUGAACCCUGUUGGACCAUCAGGGUUCAAGGUAAUUAUCAUGGGUUGGACCUUGCAGUGUACUAGUUUCAUUUGAUACACAAGCAAACUACGGCCAAUGCCAAAGUUGAAUACAUCUUUCAGCUGUGGUUUAAGAUAUCUGCUAACAACCAGUCGUAAUCCAAGAUUAGGAAUGACUUCAGACUCAGCUUAACAAAGGACAUUUCAAUGCGCCAAAUAUAGGAUUUUGCAUACAGAUGAUUCCUGGAGUCAAGAGUAAAACAAGGCAAGAAAACAACGGAUCAUUACGUGAAAUUAGUUAAGUUUUCAUUUAUAAAUGUUUGGGCUAACAACGUCAUCGAGGUAUAAUGGAAAAUAUGCAACCAUAAACACAUUUAAGAUUGUAUUUUGUUUUGUAUUGAUGCGUCUCUACUAUUCACAUUACAUAAUUUGUUAUCUUCAACAAUUACAGAUGUGCACUGGUCCCACACCUUUGUCCUGUCGAUUGUUACAGGUAUCCGGAAGCUCUGCGAUCGACGUUGUGCGCUGCCUUCCCGGAUUUCACAAAAAAACAUAUGGCGUUCCCCAGGUACUGUAGUGCACAGCCCUGGACAAGAACAACUUGAUAAGGGAUAUAGUGUUCAACAAAAAGCGUGGGAUGCGAAACAUGCGCAUUCAGCUGCUGGAUAUAACUCGACACACCCGAACUGCUUGUAUAUCGCUCUUGGAAAGCGCUGUGAGAGGAACGUACUUAAACAGGAAGUAACCCUUCAGUUAGCUCCACUGCUAGCACCCGAGUCACUAAAAAGGACAGUUGAUCUAAGAACCCCUCACCCAAACGAGAAAUCGAUCCAGAACAGCAUGAAGGGCGAGCACAUGAAUGUGCAAAGAACAAUCCUUGCACCAGACGUGUGCAAGCCAGAAGUUCCGGUGUUCAUUUCGCCAGCAUCAACUGUGCGAUUCUUUACUGCUCCCGCAACUGACCUGGCACCCACUUCGACAAUUUCAGUCCCAAUAGAACCUAACCUGCCGUACCCUACCAAGCAGUACCAAACGAGGACGCUGGAUCCUGAUCAGGCAGUGGAGUUUUGGGGACAGUACCAAGAAAGAACCUGUCAUACAUAAAUAAGUGAUGUGAGGACAGAAGCAUACCAAACAUUAGAGGAGUGGAUAGAUCCCAUAAAGUUGAAAGACAAUGGAAACAAGAAAACUUCAGAAAUCGAAAAAUACAAGUUUUACAUUGAUCAUAUUUAUCAAAAUAUCUUAUAUAUUUAUAAUCUUCUAACACUCUGCUUUUUUACUCUUAACAACAACAUGAUCAACAUAAAGUGACAAUGAAAAUAAAACACUAUCCUUAAAGCUGCAAAUUUUUAAUUGCGUAUUGCUCGGUGAUGUAUGUAUUUGUGUUUUGCUUAAACCAUCUACUCUAGCACUAUGUUGCUAGCACCAUCAGAAUAGCACAAUCAUUAAUAAAUCAUUUAAUCAAACGUUGAAAAACUAGGUAUUGAUUUGAGUAGUUUAUUGUCCAGUUACGUCACUAAAGUUUACAGUACAGUAUACACCUUAAUUGUGUGAUAAUACAUAUUUGUUGUCUUGGUUUUUAUAACA